rnacentral:rRNA from 1 species
GACAACCUGCCCUUAGGACGGGGAUAAACCCGGGAAACUGGGUAUAAUACCCGAUAGGUCUCGAUUGCUGGAAUGCAUCGAGAUUUAGAGCUCCGGCGCCUAAGGAUGGGUCUGCGGCCUAUCAGGUAGUAGUGGGUGUAGCGUACCUACUAGCCUACGACGGGUACGGGUUGUGAGAGCAAGAGCCCGGAGAUGGAUUCUGAGACACGAAUCCAGGCCCUACGGGGUGCAGCAGGCGCGAAAACUUUACAAUGCUGGCAACAGCGAUAAGGGAACCUCGAGUGCCAGGUUACAAAUCUGGCUGUCGAGAUGCCUAAAAAGCAUUUCAUAGCAAGAGCCGGGCAAGACCGGUGCCAGCCGCCGCGGUAACACCGGCGGCUCGAGUGGUAACCGUUAUUAUUGGGUCUAAAGGGUCUGUAGCCGGCCGGAUAAGUCUCUUGAGAAAUCUGGCAGCUUAACUGUCAGGCUUUCAGGAGAUACUGUCUGGCUCGAGGCCGGGAGAGGUGAGAGGUACUUCAGGGGUAGGGGUGAAAUCUUGUAAUCCUUGAAGGACCACCAGUGGCGAAGGCGUCUCACCAGAACGGACCUGACGGCAAGGGACGAAAGCUAGGGGCACGAACCGGAUUAGAUACCCGGGUAGUCCUAGCCGUAAACGAUACUCGCUAGGUGUCGGCCACGGUGCGACCGUUGUCGGUGCCGUAGGGAAGCCGUGAAGCGAGCCACCUGGGAAGUACGGCCGCAAGGCUGAAACUUAAAGGAAUUGGCGGGGGAGCACCACAACGGGUGGAGCUUGCGGUUUAAUUGGAUUCAACGCCGGG